GGCAAAAGCUCAAAUUUGAAAUCUGGCACUUUCAGUGUCCGAGUUGUAAUUUGAAGAAGGUAUCUUUGGGUCUGGCUCUUGUCUAUGUUUCUUGGAACAGAACGUCACAGAGGGUGAGAAUCCCGUGCGAUGAGAUGUCCCAGACCUAUGUAAAGUUCCUUCGAAGAGUCGAGUUGUUUGGGAAUGCAGCUCUAAGUGGGUGGUAAAUUCCAUCUAAAGCUAAAUAUUGGCGAGAGACCGAUAGCGAACAAGUACAGUGAUGGAAAGAUGAAAAGAACUUUGAAAAGAGAGUGAAAAAGUACGUGAAAUUGUUGAAAGGGAAGGGCUUGAGAUCAGACUUGGUAUUUUGUAUGUUACUCUCUCGGGGGUGGCCUCUACAGUUUACCGGGCCAGCAUCAGUUUGAGCGGUAGGAUAAGUGCAAAGAAAUGUGGCACUGCUUCGGUAGUGUGUUAUAGUCUUUGUCGAUACUGCCAGCUUAGACUGAGGACUGCGGCUUCGGCCUAGGAUGUUGGCAUAAUGAUCUUAAGUCGCCCGUCUUGAAACACGGACCAAGGAGUCUAACGUCUAUGCGAGUGUUUGGGUGUAAAACCCGUACGCGUAAUGAAAGUGAACGUAGGUAGGACCUCCUUUAGGAGUGCACUAUCGACCGAUCCUGAUGUCUUCGGAUGGAUUUGAGUAAGAGCAUAGCUGUUGGACCCGAAAG
rnacentral:rRNA from 1 species